AUUGAACGCUGGCGGCAGGCCUAACACAUGCAAGUCGAGCGGGUGCAGCGGGCUUGCUCCUGGAUUCAGCGGCGGCCGGGUGAGUCAUGCCUAUGAAUCUGCCUGGUCGUGGGGGAUAGCGUCCUGAAACGGGCGCUAAUGCCGCAUACGUCCUGAUGGCGACAGUGGGUGAUCUUCGGACCUCACGCUAUCAGAUGAGCCUAGAUCGCAUUCGCUAGUUGGGGGGGUAACGGACUACCAAGGCGACGAUCCGUAACUGGUCUGAGAGGAUGGUCAGUCACACUGGAACUGAGAAACGGUCCCGACUCUGACGCGAGGCAGCAGUGGGGAAUAUUGGACAAGGGGCGAAAGCCUGAUACAGGAAUGCCGCGUGUGGGAAGAAGGUGUUCGGCUUGGUAAGCGCUUUAAGUCGGGGGGAAGGGCAGUAAGUUUAUCCGUGGCUGUAUUGACGGUACCAACAGAAUAAGCACCGGCUAACUUCGUG
rnacentral:rRNA from 1 species